AGAGUUUGAUCCUGGCUCAGGACGAACGCUGGCGGCGUGCUUAACACAUGCAAGUCGAGCGAUGAAGUUCCUUCGGGAACGGAUUAGCGGCGAACGGGUGAGGAACACGUGAGGAAUCUGCCUUCUACUCUGGGAUAACUCCGGGAAACCGGGGCUAAUACCGGAUAUGAAACCUGAUGGCAUCAUCGGGUUUGGAAAGUUUUUCGGUAGAAGAUGACCUCGCGGCCUAUCAGCUUGUUGGUGAGGUAAUGGCUCACCAAGGCGACGACGGGUAGCCGGCCUGAGAGGGCGACCGGCCACACUGGGACUGAGACACGGCCCAGACUCCUACGGGAGGCAGCAGUGGGGA
rnacentral:rRNA from 1 species